GACAGAGGGGGCAAGCGUGGCUCGGAAUUACUGGGCGUAAAGGGCGCGUAGGCGGGAUGGCAAGUCGGUCGUGAAAUCCCUCGGCUCAACCGAGGAACGUCGAUCGAUACUGCUGUUCUUGAGGAUUGCAGAGGAGACUGGAAUUCCCGGUGUAGCGGUGAAAUGUGUAGAGAUCGGGAGGAACACCGGUGGCGAAGGCGGGUCUCUGGGCAAUUCCUGACGCUGAGGCGCGAAAGCGUGGGGAGCAAACGGG
rnacentral:rRNA from 1 species